CCAAGAUAGUUGACGAGGAUGAGAGUUGUUGUGCGAGUCCCUGCAAGGCCUCCCUCCAUGAUUCAGACGGCUCGAGUCGGCAGAGGUCUUUGUCUUCAGGUUCCAGGAAGGAUAAAAACAUAAACAAUAGCAAUCAUCGCUUUGACCCGCAUGACAUUCAUUUAAAAGGAGAAGAACAAGCGAUAUCCUCGGGGAUGGCUUCACACUGAAGGGAGAGCGAGAGCCUUUGUUCCC
rnacentral:lncRNA from 1 species